rnacentral:rRNA from 1 species
ACUCCUACGGGAGGCAGCAGUAGGGAAUCUUCCACAAUGGACGAAAGUCUGAUGGAGCAACGCCGCGUGAGUGAAGAAGGGUUUCGGCUCGUAAAACUCUGUUGUUAAAGAAGAACAUAUCUGAGAGUAACUGUUCAGGUAUUGACGGUAUUUAACCAGAAAGCCACGGCUAACUACGUGCCAGCAGCCGCGGUAAUACGUAGGUGGCAAGCGUUGUCCGGAUUUAUGGGGCGUAAAGCGAGCGCAGGCGGUUUUUAAGUCUGAUGUGAAAGCCUUCGGCUCAACCGAAGAAGUGCAUCGGAAACUGGGAAACUUGAGUGCAGAAGAGGACAGUGGAACUCCAUGUGUAGCGGUGAAAUGCGUAGAUAUAUGGAAGAACACCAGUGGCGAAGGCGGCUGUCUGGUCUGUAACUGACGCUGAGGCUCGAAAGUAUGGGUAACAAACAGGAUUAGAUACCCUGGUAGGAUAGCG